CUAGACAUGAGCUUGUAUGAAGACAUAUUAUCAGAAUUAAAAAUUUUGGAUUAGUCCUUCUUAAGUCUACGACGAUGAAUACCCAAAUAUAUUUAUUUUUGUUAGUUGCCAUUUUUGCGAUGGUUUCGAUCUUUGACGUCAUGGCCAAACCAUCAGCUGAAGCCGAGUUUGUUCCGCUUUCACGAUCUAAAAGGGGUCUUGUUUUGGAACUUCUAGAAGGCUUAUUAAACCUAUUAUAGGCCUUUAAACUACAAUACACUUAAAAUGAUUUAGGCUAUCAAAAAUCCAUAUGUAAUUAAUUAUAACACUAUAUAUUUAGCAAAAUUGUCAAUUAUUACAAAUAUUCUAUGAUAAUGUCUAUAUUAUUGUCAAAAAUUGCACAAAAUAAUAUUUUUCGUAUCGGAAUUAUAUAUAUUGUAAUUCUGUAAUUAUUAUUUUAUUAUCUUGUACUAAAAUAUAUAUUGUGUUGAAAUAAAUAUGCUGCAAAAGUA